CAGUCGCCACGGGAAAACAGAGGGUGCAAGCGUUAAUCGGAAUUACUGGGCGUAAAGCGCGCGUAGGUGGUUUGUUAAGUUGGAUGUGAAAGCCCCGGGCUCAACCUGGGAACUGCAUCCAAAACUGGCAAGCUAGAGUACGGUAGAGGGUGGUGGAAUUUCCUGUGUAGCGGUGAAAUGCGUAGAUAUAGGAAGGAACACCAGUGGCGAAGGCGACCACCUGGACUGAUACUGACACUGAGGUGCGAAAGCGUGGGGAGCAAACAGGAUUAGAUACCCCUGUAGUCCCUGUCUCUUAUAC
rnacentral:rRNA from 1 species